GAUUAAGUUAUUAAGGGCGCACGGUGGAUGCCUUGGCACUAGAAGCCGAUGAAGGACGUUACUAACGACGAUAUGCUUUGGGGAGCUGUAAGUAAGCUUUGAUCCAGAGAUUUCCGAAUGGGGAAACCCAGCAUGAGUUAUGUCAUGUUAUCGAUAUGUGAAUACAUAGCAUAUCAGAAGGCACACCCGGAGAACUGAAACAUCUUAGUACCCGGAGGAAGAGAAAGAAAAUUCGAUUCCCUUAGUAGCGGCGAGCGAAACGGGAAGAGCCCAAACCAACAAGCUUGCUUGUUGGGGUUGUAGGACACUCUAUACGGAGUUACAAAGGACGACAUUAGACGAAUCAUCUGGAAAGAUGAAUCAAAGAAGGUAAUAAUCCUGUAGUCGAAAAUGUUGUCUCUCUUGAGUGGAUCCUGAGUACGACGGAGCACGUGAAAUUCCGUCGGAAUCUGGGAGGACCAUCUCCUAAGGCUAAAUACUCUCUAGUGACCGAUAGUGAACCAGUACCGUGAGGGAAAGGUGAAAAGCACCCCGGAAGGGGAGUGAAAUAGAACCUGAAACCGUGUGCUUACAAGUAGUCAGAGCCCGUUAAUGGGUGAUGGCGUGCCUUUUGUAGAAUGAACCGGCGAGUUACGAUUUGAUGCAAGGUUAAGCAGUAAAUGUGGAGCCGUAGCGAAAGCGAGUCUGAAUAGGGCGUUUAGUAUUUGGUCGUAGACCCGAAACCAGGUGAUCUACCCUUGGUCAGGUUGAAGUUCAGGUAACACUGAAUGGAGGACCGAACCGACUUACGUUGAAAAGUGAGCGGAUGAACUGAGGGUAGCGGAGAAAUUCCAAUCGAACCUGGAGAUAGCUGGUUCUCUCCGAAAUAGCUUUAGGGCUAGCCUCAAGUGAUGAUUAUUGGAGGUAGAGCACUGUUUGGACGAGGGGCCCCUCUCGGGUUACCGAAUUCAGACAAACUCCGAAUGCCAAUUAAUUUAACUUGGGAGUCAGAACAUGGGUGAUAAGGUCCGUGUUCGAAAGGGAAACAGCCCAGACCACCAGCUAAGGUCCCAAAAUAUAUGUUAAGUGGAAAAGGAUGUGGCGUUGCCCAGACAACUAGGAUGUUGGCUUAGAAGCAGCCAUCAUUUAAAGAGUGCGUAAUAGCUCACUAGUCGAGUGACACUGCGCCGAAAAUGUACCGGGGCUAAACAUAUUACCGAAGCUGUGGAUUGUCCUUUGGACAAUGGUAGGAGAGCGUUCUAAGGGCGUUGAAGCAUGAUCGUAAGGACAUGUGGAGCGCUUAGAAGUGAGAAUGCCGGUGUGAGUAGCGAAAGACGGGUGAGAAUCCCGUCCACCGAUUGACUAAGGUUUCCAGAGGAAGGCUCGUCCGCUCUGGGUUAGUCGGGUCCUAAGCUGAGGCCGACAGGCGUAGGCGAUGGAUAACAGGUUGAUAUUCCUGUACCACCUAUAAUCGUUUUAAUCGAUGGGGGGACGCAGUAGGAUAGGCGAAGCGUGCGAUUGGAUUGCACGUCUAAGCAGUAAGGCUGAGUAUUAGGCAAAUCCGGUACUCGUUAAGGCUGAGCUGUGAUGGGGAGAAGACAUUGUGUCUUCGAGUCGUUGAUUUCACACUGCCGAGAAAAGCCUCUAGAUAGAAAAUAGGUGCCCGUACCGCAAACCGACACAGGUAGUCAAGAUGAGAAUUCUAAGGUGAGCGAGCGAACUCUCGUUAAGGAACUCGGCAAAAUGACCCCGUAACUUCGGGAGAAGGGGUGCUCUUUAGGGUUAACGCCCAGAAGAGCCGCAGUGAAUAGGCCCAAGCGA
rnacentral:rRNA from 1 species